rnacentral:rRNA from 1 species
CCUACGGGAGGCAGCAGUGGGGGAUAUUGGACAAUGGGGGGAACCCUGAUCCAGCGACGCCGCGUGAGUGAAGAAGUAUCUCGGUAUGUAAAGCUCUAUCAGCAGGGAAGAAGAAAUGACGGUACCUGAGUAAGAAGCCCCGGCUAACUACGUGCCAGCAGCCGCGGUAAUACGUAGGGGGCAAGCGUUAUCCGGAUUUACUGGGUGUAAAGGGAGCGUAGACGGUAUAGCAAGUCUGAAGUGAAAGCCCAGGGCUUAACCCUGGGACUGCAUUGGACACUGUUAGACUAGAGUGCUGGAGAGGGAAGUGGAAUUCCAAGUGUAGCGGUGAAAUGCGUAGAGAUUAGGAGGAACACCAGUGGCGAAGGCGGCUUACUGGACAGUAACUGACGUUGAGGCUCGAAAGCGUGGGGAGCAAACAGGAUUAGAUACCCGUGUAGUC